GUUAAGUUUGCUACAGUUGUUUAGUGUGAGUUCCUUGAAUCAGUACAAGACUUGGAAUCUGGGACAAAGAAUCGGACAGCUGUCAAGAAAAAUAAUCUGCUGGCCUAUUGUAGCUUCAGUGAUAUGGCACUUCUGGAGAUGUUUGAGAUUGCAGAGAGGCACUUGAAAGGAAGGGAGUCCUGGUUGUGGGACUUGGGGCCUUUGCUGUGGUCCAAGAGCAAUUCCACAGCAAAGAAGGGGUGGCCAUGGUUCGAAGACCUGUCUUUCAUCUGGACAUCAGUGCACAGUGGCUGCAGGACUUCUGGUCUCCCACUGAGAUCAUCCCUGGUGAGAAGGCAGCAGCUACCUUCUUCCCCUUCUGGCCCAAUGUCCGGCAGGGUGUGUUCUCCCCACUCUUUGGAAAGGGCUGGGAGAAGCAGAGAACUGUCUGCCAAGGUGCCGGUACAGCUCAAGUUCCUCCAAAAGAACCUGCACCCCAAGAGCUGUUUCUCUAAAGGACCUUUUCUCUGGGAUUUGGUUACAAAUGUUGCAUGGAAAUGUGGCUUGCUGUGGCAGUGAGGAUGUUCCUUCUCCUUACAGACGAUGUCAAGAUGGAGCCGCUGAACUACCGGCAGCUCUUGCAAGCUACCGCCAUCCUGCUGCACGUGGUGCAGAGCUGCAUGCAAGAGACCAUCCUCUUGUACUGUCUUCUCCUGAGCAACAAGGUGCACAUCCCAUUCGCCUUCCAUGGGAUCGGCAUCCUGCUGUGUGAAGAUAACCUCCUUUGCAUGAGGUUCUAUCACAGCUGUGUGAUGAUGGAGGGGACUGCAAGCCUGGUUGCACUGCUCCACAGUGUAAGCUGAGGGGGUUUUGAGGGCUGCCUCCAUGUCUCUGGGAAUCCUAUGGAAGAGUGUACCAUCAGGUCACCGCCACCAGCCUGGAUGCGGCAGGCCACUCACAUGCCUUUCCCCAUGCUCACCCCCACUGCUUUCUGUAUUGGCAAAGGGGUGUCCUGGAUCCUUGCCCCUGCAGAAAGCCUGGCAGAAAGUGUUCCUGCACGGCCUCAGUAUUUUGCCGUGCGGCUCCUUCAGAGCAGAACAAAUAUCUUCUAAUGUUCGUGGAAGAGGCUUGGGCAGAUGGUUCUGGAGAGACGCUCUCUUUUGGCACAGGAGACAGUUUUUUUUCCUGCCAAUGAGAGUCAUGAGAAAACUGCCUUGGAAACCUGCAUCCAGCAGGUCUGCAUUCCUUUGCAGAGAAUUUGGCUGAAACAUCCCGCGGGCUUCAGCCCAGAGACCACCGC
ensembl:lncRNA